UACAGAGACUGCAAGCGUUAUUCGGAUUCACUGGGCGUAAAGGGCGCGCAGGCGGCCGGGUGUGUCAGAUGUGAAAUCCCCAGGCUCAACCUGGGAACUGCAUCCGAUACUGGAUGGCUUGAAUUCGGGAGAGGGAUGCAGAAUUCCAGGUGUAGCGGUGAAAUGCGCAGAUAUCAGGAGGAACACCGGUGGCGAAGGCGGCUUUCUGGGCCUUACCUGACGCUGAGGAGCGAAAGCUGGGGGAGCAAACAGG
rnacentral:rRNA from 1 species